ensembl:snRNA U1 U1 spliceosomal RNA
AUACUUACCUGGCAAGGAAGAUACCAUGAUCACUAGGAUGGUUUAGCACUCUGGAUGUCCUGACCCCUGCAGUUUCCCCAAAUGUGGGAAACUUGACUGCAUAAUUUGUGGUAGUGGGAGACUGCAUUCAUGUUCUCCCCUG